rnacentral:misc_RNA from 1 species
AAAAAAAAAUAUAAAAAAUAAAAUAAAAAAAAACUAGUUCCCAUAAGUGGAUUGAGACAGUUUUCAUCCAACAAAUCACUCAAUCCAUUCAAUUAUUAGAUUCCUUUUUUGUUCUCUUUUCUUUUGGCCAUGUUCAUCUAAACACUCAUUUUAGCUAUUGAGGCCCAAAAGAAAAAGAAAAUUACUACUGGUAUUCCACGCAAAGAUAUAAUAUAACCAGUUAACAGCAGCAAUGCUCAUAUGUCAAGUCUUCACUAUAAGUAGCAGUACUAAUGUGUAAAGGUUCUCUUUUUUAUGAUUUAUAUUUUACUUGAAUGUUCAAAACAUUUUAAUUCCAAUAACUUUGAGGUACAUAUUAAUAAUUAAAUUAAUAAAAAUCAUUCCUAGAAGAUAUUUAAUAUGAAAAUUGAAAAUCAAUAUUUCAAUAGAUAUCUGCGUUUAAAAACUAAUACAAGUCUCAAUAUCAACACUUGGCUCCCUUAUUAAGAUAGUUGCUGGCAGAUUCACGCAACUGAGUAUUAAGAGAACUGAAAAUUUAGCAUCAACAAAAUAUGGCAUAAGUCACCUGUUUCAAUAAUAAAGGUAAA